rnacentral:lncRNA from 1 species
AAACCCUCGGGUGCAGGGAUGUGGGGUAAACUCUGAGCGAGUCCUUUCAAAAGAGACACUCCUCUUCAGCAGACCCACAGAGACAUGUUAGUUAACCCCGAGCUUGCCUAGAUGGCAGAUCGUCCCAAAAUGUAGGAACCUCCCCCAGGGAAGCCAUGUCUCAGGUCCCAUUACCCAUAAGGAUUUUACUCUUUCUCAAGGAAGUCGCUGGAAAUCAGAGGUAAAAAUUCCCAGCUGAUCAUUUGAAUCCUCCCUUUUCUUCCCGUUCCUUGGUGCUCCUGGGUACUGGGGCAGGUUUUAGGAGCCCGUUCCCUCCCAGCACCUCCUCCCCACUUACAAAACACAAAAAUGGCCAUUAUAGAGUCAAAGAUCUUUGCACCUCAAGAACAAAGGAAAAGUUGGGGAACAGUAAUUUUCCUUCAAAAUUUUAAUCCAUGAAGGAUGAAAAAACCUCACUUUAUGUGACCAGAAUAUUUAAAUGGAGUCAGUGUUCUAGAAGCUUAGCAAAGCGAUGUGAGACAUGAAAUAAAAAGAUACAUUUAAGUCUAUCCUUCAGUAGGCACGAUGCAUCUUGGUACUGGUGUCCUGAGGCUUUGCAAAUCUGGAUGGUGAGUGUAUGUUUCAGCUAUUAUGUCAGUGUGGGGAAAAUGGAUGGAAACAACAGCUCCAUCUCCUGCUGCAUGCCCAAUCUCGCUGCCCCCCAGCAGAGGAGACUGCGCAAUCCAGCACAACUCAAAAAAGAUGUAAAAAGAAGAACAGAAGGGGCAGAGUUGGCUCAUGUGGUUGCCUGGGUCCUUCCUCUUUGAGCUUCUGGUGUCAGACGGGAACUGGGGGCCGUCCACCUACCUUAACCCUGCCCACGCGCUGCUGCCCUCAGAGGGAGUGCACUUGCCUCUGGCCCUGCCAUGAAAACCCAGCACUGGCCAAGGCUCCCUGGCUCGUAGCUGACUGCAGGGCGGGUGACUCACUACACACGGCUCACUUCCUCCGCUGCCUAAAGGGCUCACUGUGGACUGUGGCGGCGGGCGUUCUCACAAGAGAAGCCGGA